GUGCCUCCCUUGGCAGCACAUAUAUUAAAAUGGGAAUACUACAGAAUCAGUUAGCCUGGCUUCUGUGCCAGGAUGACACACAAGUUUGCCAAAUGUUCCAUGUUUUU
ensembl:snRNA U6 U6 spliceosomal RNA